rnacentral:misc_RNA from 1 species
GAUGAAGAACGUAGCGAAAUGCGAUAAGUAGUGUGAAUUGCAGAAUUCAGUGAAUCAUCGAAUCUUUGAACGCACAUUGCGCCCUUUGGUAUUCCAAAGGGCAUGCCUGUUCGAGCGUCAUUUGUACCCUCAAGCUUUGCUUGGUGUUGGGCGUCUUGUCUCUAGCUUUGCUGGAGACUUGCCUUAAAGUAAUUGGCAGCCGGCCUACUGGUUUCGGAGCGCAGCACAAGUCGCACUCUCUAUCAGCAAAGGUCUAGCAUCCAUUAAGCCUUUUUUUCAACUUUUGACCUCGGAUCAGGUAGGGAUACCCGCUGAACUUAAGCAUAUCAAUAAGCGGAGGA